rnacentral:rRNA from 1 species
AGAGGUAAACGGGUGGAGUUGAACUGCAUGCUCCGUGAAUUCAGCUGGUGAGAUUGUUGUGGGCUUGGUCAUGUGGGGUGGACAAUGAGGUAUGCUUAGCUGCAUGUCCCGGCCGGCUGGUUGGGAUGCGCGAUACGCUCAUCAUGCGUUGCGCGCCUCUGCUGUUCUCUGCCCUCUCGCCAGUGCAUUUUCGCGGAGUGUUCACCAAGACCGGCGUUGCUGUCCGGCUGCUUUAGUUAAACCGGUCUUACGCGUCCUUGUGGCGUUGUUUGGUCGGGACGGCAGGUAGCCCGUUGGCUUGCUUUGCAUGCUUUCGUGUGUAAUCAGCUGACUAAAGCGGGACUGUGCAGUACGUCGGAGCUGGCGGCCAGUUGUGCCUGCUCGUGCGUCAUGCCUUCCGAAGCAUCCUGUUCUGAUCGCCAUGUUGCCUGUCUCGGCAGGUCUGGUGGUGGACAGGGUUCUAUUGGUUGGUGGUUCCUCGGGUAGCACUUUAUAGAGCCAAUAGUCUUUGGUGUCGUGGUAGACUAUCCACCUGACCCGUCUUGAAACACGGACCAAGGAGAGUAACAUGUGCGCGAGUCAUUGGGCGUAACGAAACCCAAAGGCGCAGUGAAAGUAAAGGUCUGACUUGUUCAGUCUGAGGUGAGAUCCUGUUGUUUCUCAUGCCUGGUACCACCAAGCUUGGAGCGACAGGCGCAUCACCGGCCCGUCCCAUGAUGUAGACACGGUCAUUGUACUCGUGCACCGUCGGGGCGGAGCAUGAGCGCACAUGUUGAGACCCGAAAGAUGGUGAACUAUGCUUGCGCAGGUUGAA